UGGCAUCACAAAUACUAAAAAAAAUAAUUUGGAACAAUACAGAGAUUAGAUUAGACUGCCCCUGCACAAGGAUGAUAUGCAAAUUCGUGAAGCGUUCCGUAAAAAA